rnacentral:rRNA from 1 species
AUUGAACGCUGGCGGCAUGCCUUACACAUGCAAGUCGAACGGCAGCGGGGGAGAAGCUUGCUUUUCCUGCCGGCGAGUGGCGAACGGGUGAGUAAUACAUCGGAACGUGCCCUGUAGUGGGGGAUAACUAGUCGAAAGAUUAGCUAAUACCGCAUACGACCUGAGGGUGAAAGUGGGGGACCGCAAGGCCGCAUGCUAUAGGAGCGGCCGGGGUCUGCUUAGCUAGUUGGUGGGGGUAAAGGCCUACCAAGGCGACGAUCAGUAGCUGGUCUGAGAGGACGAUCAGCCACACUGGGACUGAGACACGGCCCAGACUCCUACGGGAGGCAGCAGUGGGGAAUUUUGGACAAUGGGCGAAAGCCUGAUCCAGCAAUGCCGCGUGUGUGAAGAAGGCCUUCGGGUUGUAAAGCACUUUUGUCCGGAAAGAAAUGGCUCUGGUUAAUACCUGGGGUCGAUGACGGUACCGGAAGAAUAAGGACCGGCUAACUACGUGCCAGCAGCCGCGGUAA